AGAGUUUGAUCCUGGCUCAGAUUGAACGCUGGCGGCAGGCCUAACACAUGCAAGUCGAGCGGCAGCGGAAAGUAGCUUGCUACUUUGCCGGCGAGCGGCGGACGGGUGAGUAAUGUCUGGGAAACUGCCUGAUGGAGGGGGAUAACUACUGGAAACGGUAGCUAAUACCGCAUAACGUCGCAAGACCAAAGRGGGGGACCUUCGGGCCUCUUGCCAUCAGAUGUGCCCAGAUGGGAUUAGCUAGUAGGKGGGGUAACGGCUCACCUAGGSGACGAUCCCUAGCUGGUCUGAGAGGAUGACCAGCCACMCUGGAACUGAGACACGGUCCAGACUCCUACGGGAGGCAGCAGUGGGGAAUAUUGCACAAUGGGSSCAASCCUGAKGCAGCCAUGCCGCGKGUAUGAAGAAGGCCUUCGGGUUGUAAAGUACUUUCAGCGGGGAGGAAGGSGAUAAGGUUAAUAACCUUGUSGAUUGACGUUACCCGCRGAAGAAGCACCGGCUAACUCCGUGCCAGCAGCCGSGGUAAUACAAGGG
rnacentral:rRNA from 1 species